rnacentral:tRNA from 1 species
ACCUGGCUGACUUAGAAGAGUGUGAGGCUCUUGAUCUCUGGGUUGUGAGUUUGAAUCCCAUGCUGGGUG